CGGGGCGUGGCUCAGCCUGGUUAGAGCGCUUGGUUCGGGACCAAGAGGUCGCGUGUUCGAAUCACGCCGCCCCGA
rnacentral:tRNA from 1 species